CUAACAAGGAUUCCCCUAGUAACUGCGAGUGAAGCGGGAAAAGCUCAAAUUUAAAAUCUGGUGGUCAUGUGACACCCGAGUUGUAAUCUAGAGAAGUGUUGUCCGCGCUGGACCGUGUAAAAGUCUCCUGGAAUGGCAGCGUCAUAGAGGGUGAGAAUCCCGUCUUUGACACGGACUGCCGGGGCAUUGCGACGCGCUCUCAAAGAGUCGAGUUGUUUGGGAAUGCAGCUCAAAAUGGGUGGUAAAUUCCAUCUAAAGCUAAAUAUUGGCGAGAGACCGAUAGCGAACAAGUACCGUGAGGGAAAGGUGAAAAGAACUUUGGAAAGAGAGUUAAWCAGUACGUGAAAUUGCUGAAAGGGAAACGCUUCAAGUCAGUCACGUCGGCCGGAAUUCAGCUAGGUUUUGGGUUUCCAUAACCCCCUUGAGUGUAUUUUCCGCCCGACGGGUCAGCAUCAAUUUUGACCAUUGGAUAAGAACAAGAGGAAUGUGGCAUUUUUUUGAAAUGUGUUUAUAGCCUGUUGGAGAUACAGUGGUUGGGAUUGAGGAACUCGGCACAUCAGUUGGCCUUUUGGCCCACCUUGUGUUCAGGAUGCUGGCAUAAUGGCUUGAAUCGACCCGUCUUGAAACACGGACCAAGGAGUCUAACAUGCCUGCGAGUGUUUGGGUGGAAAACCCAGACGCGCAAUGAAAGUGAAAGUUGAGAUCCUUGUUACGGAGGAGCAUCGACGCCCAGACCUGACGUUCUCUGACGGUUCUGCGGUAGAGCAUGCAUGUUGGGACCCGAAAGAUGGUGAACUAUGCCUGAAUAGGGUGAAGCCAGUGGAAACUCUGGUGGAGGCUCGUAGCGAUUCUGACGUGCAAAUCGAUCGUCAAAUUUGGGUAUAGGGGCGAAAGACUAAUCGAACCAU
rnacentral:rRNA from 1 species